AAUUUCUUCAAUUUCAGUUGGUGCUAUGCUAUAGAGCGAAUGUGUAGAUAUCAAAUUUUUUACGCGAUCGAUCAAGUGUAGAUUUCCCUCAGUGUCGAAAUGUGCAAUGUCACCCGUUGGGAAAAAUCCUUCAUCAUCAAUUGCAUCAGCCGACAAUUCUUCAUUUCGAUAGUAGCCAAGAAAUUUGUAGGGGCCUUUGCAAUGAAUUUCACCAUUUUCACCGACGCCACAUCGAUUUCCCAUUGAAUCGACAAUUUUCAAAUGAAAACCGCCAACCAUUUGUCCCUCGGAGUGGCUACCAUUUGAAGCAACGGUUAAAUAACCGACCUCAGUCGUACCGUACACAACCAUGCAAAUUGUAUUUGGUAAAUACGAACGAAAUUCAUCAAGCAUUAAAAAUGAAACUUUAUAUGCGCCGAGCAAGAUACGUUUAAAAUUUGGAAGAUUGGUUUUUGGCAAAAGUCCACUUUUUAAAAAGCCAGCGAUAUGAUGCGGGGUGUACAUUGUACAUGUUAUUUUAUAGUCUUCGAGCAAACGCAAUUGUGUUUGAGGCGAAAAUGGUACGUUUGAUAUUACACGAAGCGAACCACAUAAUACACCCCAAAAAAGAAUAGCAUAUGCGGUUAUCCAUUGAUAUGUGAAAAGGGUAUACAAAACAUCAUCCGAUGUGAUGAUAUCCAACGUUUGAACGUCCCAUAGAAGGGCUGCAUACGGCAAACAAACACCUAUAACAUAGAAUAUUGGAAAUGCCAAGCACGUUUGAUGGACAACCCAAACCAAGCGAAGCUAAAAUAACUGAACUCAGAUGAUCCGUAUGGUCCGCCAUGAUUCCGAUGACUUGUUUUGGCUGGCAACCGCGCUUCUGAAGAUUCUCAGCCAUACUUAUCGUGUGCAUACGCAUUUCGGCAAAUGUUAUUUUCACACCGGUAUCAGCAUUUAUCUACAAUUUGCCAACAAUAAUGAAGAAAUUCAUUAGAAAUCAUUUCGAAAAGAAGGAGAAAGGAGAAAGUCAAAUAAGCGACUUAUAUGUUAGUUUUGUUGUAUUCAAACGCAACGCGUAGCACAUUUGUCCGUCGCUGCUUCUUGGAACCGUGUAGCUCAUACUCACUUUUGACUCCGCUCUUGGCAAGACCAUAACGCUAUUUAUUUGUGCAUUAUUUUAUUUUAAAGCGAUUUUUUUCUGUUUUGUAUUUUUCCGUUUUUAUUUGAAAUAUUUCUCCGCAACAUGUGAAUUUUUUCUGUUCAAUUUAGAUUAAAAAAUCGGACCGAUUUCGAAAAAACUAUGCCCAUUUUCGGAA